AGGAGCACGGGGGCCAGGCAUCAGAGCAGGUGGGGCCUGUGAGCCUCCCUCCAAUCCCUCCUCCUCCCACAGGCCAAGACCAGAAGGACGCCCAGAACUACACAGCAAGCAAGGGCUAGAGACGAACAACCCACGUGCUGUCCCCACAGACACGGUGAGAAAACUGAUGCUUGGAGAUGUGAUCACUGCCCAGGGUCACAGAAUGACAACAUGCAUGCAUAUGGAACUUGCUGCAUGCCAGCACCAUGCACUGCUAGGCGAUGGUGAUAAUAAGGAGAAGACUCUGUCCCUGCCUUCCAGUUGUGUAGAGGAAGAUAUCCCCCUACACGAUGGGUGAGACAUAGCAGAAGUGAGUAGGGGAUGAGGUGGGGGCUUAGAGGAGGGCAUGGCCAGCCUGUCUGGGAGGGAGCUGCAUGUGUGCGUCUGAGAUAGGGACAGGCAUGCAUCUUGCAGGAUGAGUAUCGAGCAGAGUCACAGAGACAGAAAACUCCUGGAGGUUUCAGGAAUCAUCUAAUCCACUGUGGCUCACAAGUUCUUGCCUCUUGGCUUUGCCUGCAGCAUAUCUCCUGGAGGUGUGCUAGGGCAAAACUCAUCCCAAACCACCAUCUCUAUCCUCCCCAAUACACCCUGGCCCUCCCUGCCUACCCUUGAGCAUGGUGCAUGUGUGCAUGGGUGCAUGCCUGCAUAUAUAGCUAUCUCCCACGUAUUUCCCAAAGCCCCACAUAAUGCUUCAGUUUGCUAAGGAAAAAAUGUUAAUUAUUGCAAAUGUGUUUAAAACUGUAAAAGUACAUUAAAUAAACUCUGUAAAGCGUG